rnacentral:rRNA from 1 species
AACGCGAAGAACCUUACCUGGGCUUGACAUACACCGGACCGGCGUAGAGAUACGUCUUCCCUUGUGGCCGGUGUACAGGUGGUGCAUGGUUGUCGUCAGCUCGUGUCGUGAAAUGUUGGGUUAAGUCCCGCAACGAGCGCAACCCUUGUCUUAUGUUGCCAGCACGUGAUGGUGGGGACUCAUGAGAGACUGCCGGGGUCAACUCGGAGGAAGGUGGGGAUGACGUCAAAUCAUCAUGCCCCUUAUGUCCAGGGCUUCACACAUGCUACAAUGGUCGGUACAGCAGGUCGCGAACUCGUGAGAGUAAGCCAAUCCUUCAAAGCCGGCCUCAGUUCGGAUUGGGGUCUGCAACUCGACCCCAUGAAGUCGGAGUCGCUAGUAAUCGCAGAUCAGCAACGCUGCGGUGAAUACGUUCCCGGGCCUUGUACACACCG